ACCUACUGUUUGCACAGUACCUAGCCCAGUAGGUGAUGGUUCUCAAUUGGCCCUUAAGCGCUGUCAGAAUAAAACAAGGCAUGGUGCUUCCCUAUUUUGUACCAUUGACUGGUGGAGCUAGGGGGUUGCUGGGAGCCUGAGGACCAUAUCUAAUCUGGGUGAAAUGGACCAUAUUACAACCACCUUAAUUCUUCAAAUAUAAGUGGAAUCUGAUAUAAUAGUCCCCCAGCUGCAAUGCUCUUAUGAUGCAUUAGACUAGCAUGCAUUGCAUACUGGUUCAGGUACAGUGUACCUGGAAUGAGAAAUGGCUGCCCCCUAUUUGUUCAGCACAUGACCAGGAACCAGGCUAAGACCUUAAAAUGUCUGUGCAAGGGGGAAGACUUUCAUAAAGGGAAUGAUUCUGAGUAUUUUACUUAAGAUCCAUUUUCCUUUGCAUAUUUUUUCUAGACCAGACCUUAUUAACGCUGGUAGUGGAGUUAACUCACACAUUGGCUAAGGGCUUAUUCAUUCAAGAUCACAUUCUGAAAGACAAUAGGACUUCUCUGAUGUUUCCAGAGAGUCACAGAUUAAGGUCAAACAAAGGGUGCCUUCCUUCUAACACGACUGACAGAUGGAAAAAAAAAAAAAAAAAAAAAACUGUUAAGAAAACCCUUAGCAAGACAUUGACAACUUACAGGAAC